rnacentral:misc_RNA from 1 species
UUUAACGACUACAAAUUUUUAUUGCCAAUUCUUGACAUCAAACGUUUUUAAUAAUUUUUUUUUUAAUCCACAGGCAGUCGCCUUUAACAGAGAUCAGACGAAAUUAGUUAAAGGCACGGCUGACAAAUUGAAGACGUGAGCCAUCAAACUCUUGCCGUCGUCAAAGAGCAACAACAGUCUAGAUGUGGUCUUGGACGAGUUCCCGGAAUGGAUGCAACGUUUCAGCAUCGACCACCGGAUCAAAGAUACCAACAUCAAGUUGAAGAGGAUCGCUAACGAGAAAAAAGAGCCUGUCAGUGUUUCAGGGCACCAACAACAAGAAGGAAAAGAAGAAAAACAAUUCCGGAGAAGAUGAUCUCACUUACGGCCCGCGGGAUUACGUCAUUGGAUCAAGGCCGAAACUUUGGACAUGGAUUACUUCUGUCUCGGUUGUCAUGUAGAAAUUAUGGGCCCAUAUGUAUGGAACAUCCGCUCUUCUUUGGAAGUUUAUGCAAUCGCGAAUGCAAGAAUAAACUUCUGCAAACCAGUUACAGCAUUGGCGAGGACGAUAUUCACGUGAGUUGCGCCAUCUGUGGUGUGGAGGAGGUUGUGGUCUGCGAAAAUGGUUCGUUUUCCAGCUGCUGGUUGGCGAGGGAUUGAUGUCCGUCAUCAUGCAAAAGACGCCGUGGUUUUGCUUCCUCUGCGCCAGUUUCACCACCAGAAUAAUCCCACGGCCUCCUUCAGCCUCGCUCCGACUGGGCCUUAAAACUGAAAUAAAAGCUUCCUCCACCAAGAUUUAUACCCAUCGACAUCU